rnacentral:rRNA from 1 species
GGAAUUUUCCGCAAUGGGCGAAAGCCUGACGGAGCAACGCCGCGUGAGGGAUGAAGGCCUCUGGGCUGUAAACCUCUUUUAUCAAGGAAGAAGAUCUGACGGUACUUGAGGAAUAAGCCACGCCUAAUUCCGUGCCAGCAGCCGCGGUAAUACGGGAGUGGCAAGCGUUAUCCGGAAUUAUUGGGCGUAAAGCGUCCGCAGGCGGCCCACCAAGUCUGCUGUUAAAAAGUGGAGCUUAACUCCAUCAUGGCAGUGGAAACUGUUGGGCUAGAGUGUGGUAGGGGCAGAGGGAAUUCCCGGUGUAGCGGUGAAAUGCGUAGAUAUCGGGAAGAACACCAGUGGCGAAGGCGCUCUGCUGGGCCAUAACUGACGCUCAUGGACGAAAGCCAGGGGAGCGAAAGGGAUUAGAUACCCCAGUAGUC